rnacentral:rRNA from 1 species
GUGAGGAAUAUUGGACAAUGGCCGGAAGGCUGAUCCAGCCAUGCCGCGUGCGGGAAGACGGCCCUAUGGGUUGUAAACCGCUUUUGUUGGGGAGCAAUAAGUCCUACGCGUAGGAUGAUGAGAGUACCCAGCGAAUAAGCAUCGGCUAACUCCGUGCCAGCAGCCGCGGUAAUACGGAGGAUGCAAGCGUUAUCCGGAUUUAUUGGGUUUAAAGGGUGCGUAGGCGGAUGCUUAAGCGUGAGGUGAAAUGCCCGGGCUCAACCUGGGAACUGCCUCGCGAACUGGGUAUCUGGAAUGUCCGUGCCGUGGGAGGAAUGUGUGGUGUAGCGGUGAAAUGCAUAGAGAUCACACAGAACACCGAUUGCGAAGGCAUCUCACGAACGGAUGAUUGACGCUGAGGCACGAAAGCGUGGGGAUCAAACAGG